UCAAGAUUCAAAUCUAAGCCUGAUUGAUGCCCCAGCCAAAGACUGAGGGGUGUGCAGGCCAUGACGCACAGUGCGGCCAUCUAUGUGUCAGAGACCAGGAGUGAGUGGGUCGGAGGACCAGAGCAAACAGUCACCCAGCAAUCUUUUUAGAGUCGAUGUAUGAGCAACAUUUAUGGAAACGAAACAUCCCUGUAGGCUGCCAUCAGUUGUACAAGCAAGGAGUGAGAACGUCUCUGCUGAGUCUUGGGGGACCUCCACACAAAUGGAAAAAC
rnacentral:lncRNA from 1 species